AAACGACUCUCGGCAACGGAUAUCUCGGCUCUCGCAUCGAUGAAGAACGUAGCGAAAUGCGAUACUUGGUGUGAAUUGCAGAAUCCCGUGAACCAUCGAGUCUUUGAACGCAAGUUGCGCCCCAAGCCUUCUGGUUGAGGGCACGUCUGCCUGGGU
rnacentral:rRNA from 1 species